ensembl:lncRNA
AAAAAUUGGAAACGUAUUAGUUUGCUCAUCCUGUGUAUGUUUAUUAGCCUGUUGUUGAAUGUGUUUGGCCUCUUGGUGUAUUUUUUGAUUAUUAUAGGCUGAUGCAUGCUUGAGAUUUGAUUGGAUUUUCUGAUUGGGGUGCUUUAUGAGAGGUUCAUUCGAUGGACUGCGUUAUGAGUGCAUGACUCUCAUAAGAACACAGAAGAAAGCGUGUGUAUGCAUGAGGGUUUGUAAGUAAUUGUAGCGCUUCGUACAUGACGGUGAGGUUUUUUGGCGAAUCUCCCGUUAUGUACAGUUUUCUCUAAGAGAAUCCUGCAAAACCUUCUUUUUGUACAGUCUUGCUAUUUCCUGUUUUGCCAGUCGUGUGGAAUAUGGCUUUGUAUCUUUGCAGAUAAACAAUUCAGACCAUUGUUUAGAGAAUUGUUGGUGUAUAUGGAGACCUUGCCCAGCACCGAGUUUUACACAACUUUUAUACAAGGACUUACUCUCUCCAUUCAGGAGAAAUUGGGA